rnacentral:rRNA from 1 species
AUUGAACGCUGGCGGCAGGCCUAACACAUGCAAGUCGAGCGAGCGGCGGACGGGUGUGUAAUGUAUGGGGACUACCCGAUAGAGGGGGAUAACUACUGGAAACGGUUGCUAAUACCGCAUACUAUCGGAUAACCCAUAUGGGAUUAGAUAGUAGGUGGGGUAAAGGAUAACCUAGGCGACGAUCGCUAGCUGAUCGGAGAGGAUGAUUAGCCUCACUGGAACUUAGACACGGCCCAGAGUCCUACGGAGGCAGGAGUGGAGGAUAUUGCGCGAUGGGCGCAAGCCUAAUGCAACCCAGCCGCAUGUAUAGAGGGAGCCUUAGGGUUGUAAAGUACUUUCAGCGGAGAGGCGUUGCCCGCAAAAGAAACACCGGCUAACUCCGUGCCAACAGCCGCGGUAAUAC